UCCAUUUCUGCAUUUUUCACAGUUUUUUUUGUGGAAAGAUUGAAUUUAACUACUUUCUCUUUCUUUAUACAAUCAGGCACGUUUCUGCUCGUCGUGGCGGAGAGUUGGCAUCGCGUCUCUUCGUCGCUUUCAUGGCUUUCUGGAGAGAAGCAGAGCAGCCAACGGGCUUUGAGGCCGCUCUCAAUUAAAGGAGUGUUUUGGCUCGAGAGUAAUCAAGACGUUUCCACGGAGGACACUCUGCAGUCCAUUUAACUUAACAGAGAAGGAGGAGGUGGAGGUGCUCGGAUCACAUGACUACCUGAAUUCCCUCCUAUCAAACGGCGUCGUCAGCCUCCAGACGGCACCUCGUAACUUCCAUCACAGACUGAAGCACACAAAGAGCUGCUGCCAUCACACUGACAGCCAAAAGCACUGGAGGCGCUCCAUCAACCCUCAGCUGACCCUCCGCUUUCAGCCACUACAAGCGUUGUUUGGUUUGGACCGACUCCAGCGUUUGGUGCAAAAAGCAGAUGUAAUGAAUAACAGAGACGGUUCAAGUUUAUUAACACACAUUUAGUUCUAAUUUGCCUUUUCAAAUAAUACUAGGGCUGCAACUAAAAACGAUUUUCUCAAUUAAUCGAUUAAUUGUUUGUAGGGGAAUCGAUUAAAAUAUUUAAAUCGCAAAUUAAUCACAUUUUUUAUCCGUUCUAAAUGUACCUUAAAGGGAGAUUUGUCAAGUAUUUAAUGCUCUUAUCAACAUAGUAGGGCUAUCUCCUGAUUCAAUACUCACAAUACUCGGGUGCUGAUUAGAUUUGUAUUCUGAUUUGUAAGUAUUGCGAUUUAUUGUGAUUUUUGUUAACACUAGAUCAUGGGGAAAAG